GUGGGGAAUAUUGGACAAUGGGCGAAAGCCUGAUCCAGCCAUGCCGCGUGUGUGAAGAAGGUCUUCGGAUUGUAAAGCACUUUAAGUUGGGAAGAAGGGCAGUAAGUUAAUACCUUGCUGUUUUGACGUUACCGACAGAAUAAGCACCGGCUAACUUCGUGCCAGCAGCCGCGGUAAUACGAAGGGUGCAAGCGUUAAUCGGAAUUACUGGGCGUAAAGCGCGCGUAGGUGGUUUUGUAAGUUGGAGGUGAAAUCCCCGGGCUCAACCUGGGAACUGCCUCCAAAACUGCAUGACUAGAGUACGGUAGAGGGUAGUGGAAUUUCCUGUGUAGCGGUGAAAUGCGUAGAUAUAGGAAGGAACACCAGUGGCGAAGGCGACUACCUGGACUGAUACUGACACUGAGGUGCGAAAGCGUGGGGAGCAAACAGGAUUAGAUACCCGUGUAGUCC
rnacentral:rRNA from 1 species